UUUGAGCAGUGUAUAUAGUUGCUUAAGUAUGAACAGUUACCUGCAAAAGUGGUGUAAUACUUCUUGGUAAAGCUUUUUAUUUCCAAUCAUAUCUAAUUAUUGAUUUGAAAGUAUCAAUGUUUUUUUAUUAUCAGUAAUUGUUAAUUUAUAUGUGUUGUAAUUGCAUAAAUAAUAUGAGGGUCAUAAUCAUAAGGGUCAAGGCUGAAAUAGGCGUUAUUAAGAAAGGAAAUCUUGUUGUCCAUCACAAAGUUUGUCCAGUUAAAUUUGGGAAGAAGGGCGAGUCUUUCUCUUAGAACCGCCUAUUUUAGCUCUGGUCUUGUAUAGUCUCAGAUUCGCGGUCAUUUUCUUUUAUUGUACGGCUGAAUCAGACGUAGGUAUUUUAUGGUAUUAUUUGAAUAAUAAGUUAAUGUUUUUAUUGCGUUUCGUCUUUAUAGUUGCUAUUGUCUAUAUAUUUUGUGUUUUCUAGAAAAUGGUAGAUUGUUCUCCAUUAAAACUCCCAAAAUUAAGCGACCCGGACCUCAAAGCGGUCCAAAAUGCUGCCCAGCUGGCUUGUUACCGUUGCACAGAUCCCCUAGCUUCCCGUGAAGCGAUCCAACGAAACAUGCAUGAGGCUUUCCAGCUGAGCCUCGAAGCUCUAGAAAAAAAGGCCAGGCAGCUGAAGGCUUCAGAGAAGAGGGUGAAGCAUCUCCUCAAGGAAGUUGACAAUGUCAACAAGACAUUGGUUGCUGCCCAGCAAAAAAUUGACGUAUUGGAGGGCUGCACAGCAUUUUAUGUUGAUGAAAAAACUGAUGCAAUGACACAAACAGAGUACGAGGAGGAAGAAGUGCAAGAAAUGAGUUGGAUUGCUGAAGAUACAUUUUUUUUCUUCUUUAAGUUCAGAGUGUUUUUGUAUGUUCUUUCAAAAAUGGUUCUAUUAAAACGGUUUUACUUUUCUGAA